rnacentral:lncRNA from 10 species
AGCCACCGCGGCGACUUGGCGGCGGGUGCCAUGCGUCUGGAGCUUCACAUUCUCUGCCCCCCACCCACCGCGCCGGCGCUCCCUUGUCACGCCUCGGGAAGCGCGCACCUGCCAAGCAGGAUGAAUAAUCUGAUAUCAUGUGAAAUGAGGAAAUAAGAAGCUUUCUGCUGACUUCAUUUUGACCCAGGGUCCAAAAGGUGAUGUAAUCCUGUGGCAAGAAGAUUCAAAACUGUGGACUAUCUUGCAAAAAAUACAAGAAGAUAUUGAAAGUUUUCAUGAGUGCCUACCACCUAAUCUCAAACACUAUCAUUCAUAUGUGCCUCAUUGAGCAAAUCUUUAAUGAGGAUCUAUAUGCCAGCAAUAUCUUUUGCUUGGGAGCAGAAACAGAAAGUACAUGAUGGACUUCAUUGAAGGAUGGAGAUUUGGAAGACAUGAAUGGAUGAAGAACCAAGUGCGUGAGGGCACCUAUCAGGAUUAUUGCUGAAAUCCUUAUGGAGUUAACUGGCUGAGAGGAAGACGGAGUCUCGCUCUGUUGCCCAGGCUGUAGUUCAGUGGUGCAAUCUCAGCUCACUGCAAGCUCUGCCUCCCGGGUUCAUGCCAUUCUUCUGCCUCAGCCUCCCGAGUAGCUGGGACUACAAGCGCCUGCUACCACGCCUGGCUAAUUUUUUGUAUUUUUUAGUAGAGACGGAGUUUCACCAUGUUAGCCAGGAUGGUCUCGAUCUCCUGACCUUGUGAUCCACCCAUCUCGGCCUCCCAAAGUGCUAGGAUUACAGGCAUGAGCCACCACGCCCAGCCAACUUAUAACUUUUAUAUCA